rnacentral:rRNA from 1 species
GACGAACGCUGGCGGCGUGCUUAACACAUGCAAGUCGAACGGUGAAGCGCUUUCCUUUUUGGUUGGUGUGGAUGAGUGGCGAACGGGUGAGUAACACGUGAGUAACCUGCCCCCUUCUUCUGGAUAACCGCAUGAAAGUGUUGCUAAUACGGGAUAUUCUGCGCCUGCUGCAUGGUGGGUGUGGGAAAGAUUGUGCCUUUGGGUGUUUUCGGUGGGGGAUGGGCUCGCGGCCUAUCAGCUUGUUGGUGGGGUGAUGGCCUACCAAGGCGGUGACGGGUAGCCGGCCUGGGAGGGUGGACGGUCACACUGGGACUGAGACACGGCCCAGACGACUACGGGAGGCAGCAGUGGGGAAUAUUGCACAAUGGGCGCAAGCCUGAUGCAGCGACGCCGCGUGAGGGAUGGAGGCCUUCGGGGUGUGAACCUCUUUCGCCAGUGAAGCAGGCCUGCUCCUUGUGGGUGGGUUGACGGUAGCUGGAGAAGAAGCGCCGGCUAACUACGUG